GGGUUUUGAGUUGGUUACAAUUUAUGAUUUGCAAUUAUAAGAGAUAUAAAUAUAAAAUCCU
rnacentral:tRNA from 1 species